UCCAGACUCCUACGGGAGGCAGCAGUGGGGGAUAUUGCACAAUGGGGGGAACCCUGAUGCAGCGACGCCGCGUGGGUGAAGAAGCGCCUCGGCGCGUAAAGCCCUGUCAGCAGGGAAGAAAAUGACGGUACCUGAAGAAGAAGCCCCGGCUAACUACGUGCCAGCAGCCGCGGUAAUACGUAGGUGGCAAGCGUUAUCCGGAUUUACUGGGUGUAAAGGGCGUGUAGGCGGGACUGCAAGUCAGAAGUGAAAGCCCGGGGCUCAACUCCGGGACUGCUUUUGAAACUGUGUUGCUAGAUUGCAGGAGAGGUAAGUGGAAUUCCUAGUGUAGCGGUGAAAUGCGUAGAUAUUAGGAGGAACACCAGUGGCGAAGGCGGCUUACUGGACUGUAAAUGACGCUGAGGCUCGAAAGCGUGGGGAGCAAACAGGAUUAGAUACCCCCGUAUCA
rnacentral:rRNA from 1 species